GUGGGGAAUAUUGGACAAUGGGGGCAACCCUGAUCCAGCCAUGCCGCGUGAGUGAUGAAGGCCUUAGGGUUGUAAAGCUCUUUCACCGGUGAAGAUAAUGACGGUAACCGGAGAAGAAGCCCCGGCUAACUUCGUGCCAGCAGCCGCGGUAAUACGAAGGGGGCUAGCGUUGUUCGGAAUUACUGGGCGUAAAGCGCACGUAGGCGGAUUGGUCAGUUAGAGGUGAAAUCCCGGAGCUCAACUCCGGAACUGCCUUUAAUACUGCCAAUCUAGAGACCGAGAGAGGUAAGUGGAACUCCUAGUGUAGAGGUGGAAUUCGUAGAUAUUAGGAAGAACACCAGUGGCGAAGGCGGCUUACUGGCUCGGAACUGACGCUGAGGUGCGAAAGCGUGGGGAGCAAACAGGAUUAGAAACCCGUGUAGUCC
rnacentral:rRNA from 1 species